rnacentral:rRNA from 1 species
UACAGAGGGUGCGAGCGUUAAUCGGAAUUACUGGGCGUAAAGCGUGCGUAGACGGUAGCGUAAGUCAGAUGUGAAAGCCCCGGGCUCAACCUGGGAAUUGCAUUUGAGACUGCUCUGCUCGGGUGCGGAAGAGGGAAGCGGAAUUUCCGGUGUAGCGGUGAAAUGCGUAGAUAUCGGAAGGAACACCGGUGGCGAAGGCGGUUCUCUGGGCCUGUACUGACGCUGAGGAGCGAAAGCGUGGGGAGCGAACAGG